UUCUGGGAGCUCGGAGGCCGCCGCGGCGCCUGAGGGAGCUCGGCCGCCAUUUUGUGCCUCUCGUUCGGUGCGGGGCGGCCGCGCGGGCGCUGCGGCUCUGAGCGAGCGCUCGGCCCUCCUGCUCUGUCGGUCGGGGUGACGCCGCCAUGGGCCGUAAGAAGAAGAAGCAGCUGAAGCCUUGGUGCUGGUACUGUAAUAGGGAUUUUGAUGAUGAGAAAAUCCUUAUACAGCAUCAAAAAGCAAAGCACUUUAAAUGCCAUAUAUGUCACAAGAAGCUGUACACAGGACCUGGUUUAGCUAUACACUGCAUGCAGGUACAUAAAGAAACAAUAGAUGCUGUUCCAAAUGCUAUUCCCGGAAGAACAGACAUUGAACUGGAAAUCUAUGGAAUGGAAGGCAUUCCAGAAAAAGACAUGGAGGAACGGAGGAGGUUACUUGAACAAAAAACUCAGGAGAGCCAGAAAAAGAAACAACAGGAUGAUUCUGAUGAGUAUGAAGAUGAUGAAUCUGCAGCUUCAACUUCAUUUCAACCCCAGCAAGUUCAGCCCCAGCAGGGGUACAUUCCCCCAAUGGCACAGCCAGGUUUGCCUCCUGUGCCAGGUGCACCAGGGAUGCCUCCAGGUAUACCCCCAUUAAUGGCAGGUGUUCCACCUAUGAUGCCUGGAAUGCCUCCAGUUAUGCCUGGAAUGCCACCUGGAUUACAUCAACAGAGAAAAUACAUGCAGUCAUUUUGUGGUGGAAACAUGAUGAUGCCUAUGGGUGGAAUGAUGCCUCCUGGGCCAGGAAUCCCACCUCUUAUGCCUGGUAUGCCACCAGGUAGGUCAGGGUUGUCGAACUCGUACUAUGGGAUGCCCCCUCCUGUUGGGCCGCGGCCUGGCAUGCCUCCAAUGACACAAGCACAGCCUGUUACAGCCCCGGGCAUGCUGAACCGGCCCCCAGCUCCUGCUGCAACAGCACCGACCCCACAACCUCCAGUUACUAAACCACUCUUCCCAAGCGCGGGGCAGAUGGGGACACCUGUCACAAGCUCAAGUGCAGCUUCCUCCAAUUCAGAAAGUCUCUCAGCAUCUUCUAACGCUCUGUUUCCUAGCACAGCACAAGCUGCAGCAGCUGUGCCAGGGCCAGUUGGUACUGAUUUCAAACCUUUGAAUUCUACACCCGCGACAACAACGGAGCCCCCCAAACCAACAUUCCCGGCUUACACGCAGUCCACAGCCUCAACCACUAGCACGACAAACAGCACUGCAGCUAAACCAGCUACGUCCAUCACAAGUAAGCCUGCUACCCUCACAACAACCAGUGCAACCAGUAAGUUGAUCCAUCCAGAUGAGGAUAUAUCACUGGAAGAGAGAAGGGCACAGCUGCCUAAAUACCAGCGCAAUCUUCCUCGGCCAGGCCAGGCUGCCCUGGGUAAUCCACCGGUUGGACCAAUUGGAGGUAUGAUGCCACCACAGCCAGGAAUUCCUCCACAGCAACAAGGAAUGAGACCUCCUAUGCCACCUCAUGGUCAGUAUGGUGCACAUCACCAGGGCAUGCCAGGAUACCUUCCUGGAGCCAUGCCUCCAUACGGUCAGGGACCUCCGAUGGUGCCCCCGUACCAGAGUGGACCUCCUCGCCCUCCGAUGGGAAUGAGACCGCCUGUAAUGUCGCAAGGUGGCCGCUACUGAUGCUCCUACUCACGCUCUAAUAGGUUUGGAGAUUAAACCUUUUCUCAUCUUGUGCUGUUAAUAUAGCCGAGCUUCCGUCAAUUAAGGCUUCAUUGUGACUUUAAAAAAAAUAAGUAUCUUCCCACAUGCAAGGAGCUAUUGGACAUUCUUAUUUUACAUGGGAAAAAUUAUUUGGAAUAAUAACAGGAACUUUUCCUGAUGUUGCAAUUUAUACUGUAUGGCUUCUUUUUCAUGUUUCAUCUAGGUUUUUAGAAGUGAAGUAUAGUAAAUAUGGUUCGUUAAAUUGUGAAGGCGCUGGAAUUACAUGAACAUACCACCUUAAAGCCCUGCCAUAGGACAGGCUGAGGCAGAGUCUCAGUGUUGCCCUGUUCAGUCUGAGGCAAGUGGGAUUUAUUUUAUUCAUUCUGGGGGCUUUCACAGCUUUAUGGCUGUUGGAUAUUCAUGUCCCCAAACUUGCAGCAAGUUUGGUGAAGGCCCCUAAAUUUAUUUUAAUUUAGGUUUUUUAUUCUCUUUUGGUAGAUGGGCUCUAUAUUAAUAUUUAUCUUUUUAUUAUGGCUGUGUUUUUAAGAGUCUUAAGGGGAGGGAACCUGUUUUAAGAUGUGUGGGUACCUUUUCUCUUCAUGGAAUGCAUUUCCUUCAAGACUGCUCAGGUAGUCCUUAAGAAACACUGCCCCUCCCCAUCUUUCCCUGCAUUGCAUUUGUGCUGUAUUUGUUUUUGGGUUUGGUAGUGUUCAUUUUGUGCAGUCUCUGAAUUAGUGGCAUGUAAAUACCAAUUAUUAAUGUCUUCUCUUCGAGGAUGUGUAUCUAUUGAAAAGCUUAAAAUAGAGUUGAACUAGUAAGUUAAUUGCUACAAAAAUUUGUAGCCCCAAUUAGACAAUACAGUUUAUUUGAAGAAGAUUAAGAUGUUAAUACUGCUGUGUUUGUAAGCUGCACCUCACGAAAUAUUAAUGUAGAGCCCUGCGAAGAAAUAGAGAUCAGAUCCAAGCUGAUAACACAGUGAGAAAUCAAAGCUGCAGAUUUUUCAGCUUGCCAGUUUCAGGGAGAACCUUUUCCUCAAUCUCUUUUUUCCUCAGUUCUGGGAGAACUUUUUCCUCCAUCUCAAAUAUGUCAAAUUCGAGGAUGUUUUGACUAUUGCAACAAUAGUAAGAGUUGAAAAACUUUUAUUUUAAGCCUUGUGAGAUUCUGUUGCAUAUUCAAAAUUAGCUUUAUUUGAACUUCCUUCUUUCAUGUGGUGCCUAGCAAAAAUUUCUACCCUUUGUGAAGAGAAAGGUGCUCAUUCUGUUACAGAUCCAUUGUUUGCGAAUGCUUGAGGUUGCUUAAAGAAAGCUUCAGAACAGCAGGUUUUGCCUAAGGAGGUCUUGCAGCAUACCAGCAGUGAAAUAGUAAAUAAACAAAUGUAGGAGUCUGGUUUGACCUUUUUUUUUUUAAAUUAAGUUUUUGAGAUAUUUUUCAAGUCUGUGGUAAGGCUUUUUUAUAAGCAUAGUUGUUUAUUUCUUCAAGAUUUUGCUUAAUAAUGACCCCUAAUGGGAUUUCAAGUAAUUUUAAUUCAAGGAGAGAGUUGUAAUUAACGUAGAGUGGAUUGCACAUUGCUGUUGUACCCUUCUUUGUUUGUACUCUGCCCUUUGCAUUUUUCCUGUAGAAGGCCCCCCCAGAAUCCCUGACUGGAAAAUUGACAUGUCCAUGUUGACUGUUUCAGAAUGGUUAUUGAGCAUGGUCUUGCUUUGCUAAUUCUCAUUGUGGUGCUCCCCCUGAUAACAGUGAAGUUGAGAACAUGUCUUCAAGAUAAACUACUGCAGCUAGUACUUCUCUCACUUGCUUAAUUUAUAGGAUCAUUUGGCUUAAUUAUAUUUCCCUGGAAUGUCUAAUGAAAGUGUUUAACUCAAAAUAAUACAUUGUGGGGCUUGUACUUCUUGCUUAAAGUAUCUUAAUCUCUUAGAGUCUCAAAAUAAAAAUGCCUCCAUUUUAAGGGAUGAAGUAUGGUUCCUAGUUAUGUUCCAGUAUUGCAGCUCUCAUUGCAGCAGUUUGUGUAUCACAAAAUUGGACACCUUGCUGUUCGUGAAUUUUUUUUUAUUAAAGGUGACAGUAUUUCAUUGACAUGAAUUUUAUAGAUAGUAACAAAAUGUGGUCUUGCAGUUCAGGCUUUUUAAGCUUAAGUAGGGGCACAUAAGUUAUUUAAAGGAGCAGGAGUUACUGAUACUCUGCUAAAUUGGGUAAAUUUGUACAUGAUCUAUUAAACAAGAAAAGUAACUUGGAGAUGUGGUAAAUAAAGUACAUACCACACAUGACAACCUUUUUAAAAAAUCUGAAUGCUUUCAACCAAAAUAAUCAGACCAGGGAAACAGUGGCAGUGACUGGGUUCUGUAAGAAUGCAGCUGCCUGUGGCUGCUCUUCUGUCUGUCAUGGUUGGGCUAGGUUGGAAGCAGUUCAGAGGAAAGAAAGUUUUGGGACAGCCAUUUAAGGGAUCAGGAGGAAUCAAAGUGUUUGUAAAGUGUAAUGUAUAUAAAAGUUCUUUCUGAAGUCCUGACAAACCACGUGGUGGGAGGUUUCUGGUGCACUGUAAGCAGCAGCUUGGUGCAGUGCUGAUUGCCAGAGCACAGAUUGGCAGUAAGGCUGUGAUAAAGGAGAUGCAGUUUUACUGCAGUCUUGUGCAGGUGUGGCUGAGGGGCUGAGCACUGGAGCCUGCUGCUCUGGCAGCCAGCCAUGUCCUGUCCUGAGCCACAGGAUCCAGGCUGUUAUCCUCCAGCCUUUGUUCCUGGCAUCCUGCUGAGUCACUUUUGACUGUCCCUGGUGUGAAUAAUUCUCAGGCUUGGUACUUAUAUACCUGGACACUGUUGUGAAUAGUGAGCCCUUGUAUCUUCUGAACAAGUUUACAGUAACCUCCUAAAUUCUUGUGGGCUUUCUCCCAGUAGGGACAGUCAGCAACACUGCUGUUUUAAUGGCAGUGAAUUUGACUUCUGCAGAAAUACUGCCUUGAACUUACUGACCUUAAGGUUUUUCUUUCUUGAGGAUAUAAAGAAGUGUAAAAGUUUUGAGAAAAUAGUAGAAUUUUAAUGCCAGUACCAUCUUAACUAAAAGCAAAGAAGCACAUGACAUCGAGAACUUGAAAGCUUCCUUAUAACUUCUCUUGUUAGCAGUUAAAGUGUCUCUCUGACAGCUGACUGCCUUAUAUAAGGUUCAAGCUUCUGGCAUCUUAAGCUUUUUUUCCUUAAGUUUUCUCUUAAAUCUCUACCAUAUUCAGAAAGGGGCAUGGGUUGUAGAAUUUCAAUUUCUGCUGCUCAUAGUAGCCAGUAUGUAGAACUGGUUUUUGCUAACAGCAGUUUUAAUUACCUGAAAUGAAUGCUGUACAACCAAAGGAGACUAUUUCACCAUCUCCCAACUUAGGAAGUUACGUAAUGCUUUGAGAUAAAGAUGUCAUGCAGAGCUUUUUUUCUUUUCUCGUUUUUUCACUGACUUACUAGCACAGAAUUCUCUGGCUUCUUUCUUAUAAAUUUAAGUGGGAAAAAAUACAUUUUCCUCUUUCACUUGUAAAGUCCAGAAAAAGAAAACACCCUUUAAGACUUUAAUGAAGGAACCUGGCAAUGUAAGUAUUGUAAUUUCCUUUAUGUUUUUAGUAGGCAACAGGUGACCUUGUUACACUUACGGGUUAUGUAUGAAAAAUCAGAAGGGCAAAGUGAAAGUAGUUUUAUAGUUGCCUUUACUUCACAUGCUUUUCUUAAGCAACAAAUUGCAGUAAUUGAAGUUUGGCAGCUUUUUUUUUUUAAUAAAAAAACUAAAUUAUGGGUAAAACACCUUGGUUUAAUACAAUUUGUGUUUCUGUUAACUAGCAGCAGAAUUUCAGCAUUUGCUACUUACUGGUAGAGAAGAAAAAUUCCACAGAACUGCCAGUACAGGUUAGUUUAAUCUGUAAGUACCUGAUGUUACUAUUUAAAAUAAUUUGUUCAAAUGAUACCAUUUAAAUACCUGAGGGGAAUUUUGGUCUCUGAAAUGUGAUUGUUACCUCCUACCAGUAGUGAGUGAACAGACUAGACUUUUUUGGAAGAUCUAUAAUGGAUUUAACUAUGCUUGUGGACAGGUAAAAAAUACCUGCAAGCACCUUUAAGGAAAAUUUAGUACAGAAUCUUGACAAGCAGCCUUUGAUGUUACUGAAGAAUGUGAAAAUCUGAAGUCAAAAUCACUCUGGUAACAUGCCAAACCAGCAGGAUCCUGUGUUUGUUGUGUUGGGGAUUAAGCAUUUCUGUUUCUAACAAUCCACAGCAGUUUGUGAUCUUUCCAUUUUCUUUAGCUAUUGCUUAUGACCCUUUCUUACCCACAGAUUUUUACUUUGUUAGGCUGAUGAGCCAGGAGCUUGUUCUUCUGUGCUUUUUUAAUUGCUUGUGUUAGUUCAUUUCAGCACUUCAGAGGCUACCUACAAACAUGGUUUUGUGCAGCUGUUUUAUCUUACAUCAGAGCUACUGCUCUGCCUCUGUUUUAAUUCUGCCCUAUUUCAUAUUCCCAGAAAUUCUGGUAUUUUAUUUCUAUUGUAUAGAAUGUUUAAACCCUAAAAUAGGAAAGAUUCUUUGUGAAUGAAUAAAAGAUGCAGCUUUCUCUGGAAUGGCUGCACACAUUUAUUUCUGUUUAGACUUUGUAUAUCUCAUCUCUGCAUAUCAGUAGAAGAGAUGAAAACUUUUUCUGUGCUGUAGCACGAAGCAGAGAUCACAGCUGGAUGAGCUGUAAGAUUGUGCUUUAAUUCACUUUGGAGGCCAUGAUGUCCCACUCUGAAUUUGAGAGGCAUUUAACAUCACUGGUGGGUAAUGACUUAGUCAGUUCUGGGAAGGUUGUGGUUAUGUGGUAGCUGACCAGACACUUCAGUUUUGCCAGCUCAUCUGAGGGGUCUAGAGUGGGUUUAUGAGGGACUUGCCACUUCCAGCAGAAUUGCUUGGUUUAGGGUUCUGAAAUCUUGAACAGUGCUGCAGAAUUCAUCAUAAAAAUAUGCUCAGUUUUAAGGCAAUUGUAUCUUCCCAGGUUUUAGAAUAGUUACCCUUGCAGCCCAUUGCCUGCCAUCUUCUCUACAUCAGUUCUUGGUAAUUUACACUAAAUGUCUUCAAAAUGAGCUACAGGCAAAUUUCUGACCAAUGUUGCAUAGGCUUUUCUUCCUAAAAGGGGGGAAAAAAGGGAAGUCAUACUUUAAUACUUAAUAUUUAGCUUUAUCUCUCUGCUUAAUCUUAAUUGCAGGUAUGCAAGAAUAAAAGGGAUGCCUUGUGAGGCCAUUACCCUGUCAGCAGAAUGUGUCUGUAUUUCUUGCACCAUCUGUGGGUGACCCUAGCUGAUGCCAUUAAUGCAAUGCUCAGUACUAAGCUGGAGUGAGUAAGUGCUUUUGGCUGCUCAAUUACCUUAUCAAGUCCUGGUUUGGCCCUGGCUGGAUGCAGACCUGCACUGCUUGUUCACUGGCCUGGCAGUCAGUGGGGAUAACUAAAGGGCAGAGGGUGUUCCAUAGUGUCUUAACAAAAAAAAGUGCAUUUCUCCAGGAUAGAUUGUAGUAGAACUCUGGUACAAAGACAUCUCUUUGUGAAACUUUAAAUGGCAGUUAUUUAUAGCACUUUUUGGUAGAAUAAAUUUUAUUUUCUUUUGAGAUAGGACCAAAACAAGACUGGAAAUUUGAACUUUGAUUACCAGGUUAAGAGUGUUAAAUUGUAGCUCAGCUUCUGACACACCAUUAGAGCAGCUGUCCAUUGUGAAGUGGUUCAGCAGUCUUCCCUCCCAGUUCUGGUACUGUGUGUUUGGAACAGUUUGUCAUUUCCCACCAUUUCCUUAGAUUCCUUGCUGACUUCCAGUUGCCCUUUUAGAGUUUCUGGUCACUGUGCAGUAAAUUCAAAAUGAGCAAUGCUGUUUUUAGUACCUUCAUAAAGGACCUUUAGUUAAGCACAUGAGUGAAUAGUGUCCCCUCUCAGUAGCAGUAUGGCCACAGAAGUGUGUUGUGAAGGGGUUUUUUCUGUGACUUGAUACUGCUUUUGUAUUCAGUGGUAUGAAAGGGCUGGGAUUACUGAUCUUUUUCAAAAGACAGGUGGUGGCAAAAUACUGAUGUUGAAUUUAAUUCAAGAAAGUGAAAGACUGGUAAGUAUGUGCAUCACUUUAAUGCAUGCAAAUAAUAGUAACAAUAACAAGCUUAAUUUUAUAGCAUUCAGUUUACAAAGAAGAUUAAAGGAAAUACGGAGCUGGCAUCAUUUGCAUCCACUGGGAACCCUCUCUGAACUGUUCUUCAGGAAUGGGUGGUGGCACAUACAGCCAUCUGUAAUGUGGGACAUUUUGUAACAGUCUCUGAUUAAAAGAAGUGAACCACU